UUAUCCUACGGGGGGCAGCAGUAGGGAAUCUUCCACAAUGGACGAAAGUCUGAUGGAGCAACGCCGCGUGAGUGAAGAAGGGUUUCGGCUCGUAAAGCUCUGUUGGUAGUGAAGAAAGAUAGAGGUAGUAACUGGCCUUUAUUUGACGGUAAUUACUUAGAAAGUCACGGCUAACUACGUGCCAGCAGCCGCGGUAAUACGUAGGGGGCAAGCGUUGUCCGGAUUUACUGGGUGUAAAGGGCGUGUAGGCGGGGACGGAAGUCAG
rnacentral:rRNA from 1 species